UAAACAUGUCGAAAUGACGGACGAAUCUUUAAACAAUUUUAAAAAUUAAUGAAAUAAUUGUGUAGAAAUAUGAAUUUCACUAAAUGUUAAUAACUUUGUGACGUUUUAGUUAACAGACUAAUAAAAAUUUGAAAAUACUAUAUAUAGUGGUAUAACGUAAUGAGUAGACACAAUAUAUAGGAAGAAGGGGUAAAAUGAAUCAAAUCGAAGAAGCAUUAACGGGUUUGAUUUCUAAAGAUCCUGCUAUUGUUAACGAAAAUGC
rnacentral:sRNA from 1 species